CCCUUAGAUGUUCUGGGCUGCACGCGCGCUACACUGAAGCUAUCAACACGUUUUCCCUCCCUGAGAAGGGCGGGUAACCUUUUGAAUCAGCUUCGUGGUAGGGAUCGGGGCUUGCAAUUGUUCCCAGUGAACCAGGAAUUCCUAGUAGACGCGAGUCAUAAGCUCGCAUCGAUUAAGUCCCUGCCCUUUGUACACACCGCCCGUCGCUACUACCGAUUGAACGUUUUAGUGAGGCAUUUGGACCGACGCAUCUCAGUUUAACCGCUGGUUUGUGUUGGAAAGACUUCCAAACUUGAGCGUUUAGAGGAAGUAAAAGUCGUAACA
rnacentral:rRNA from 1 species